GAGGCUGUAGCUCAGUGGGAGAGUGCUAGCCUAGCAUGCAUGAGGUCCUGGGUUCAAUCCCCAGUACCUUCA
rnacentral:tRNA from 1 species